UUAGGAAUCUUCGUCAAUGGGCGAAAGCCUGAACGAGCGACACCGCUUGAGGGACGAAGCCCUUCGGGGUGUAAACCUCUGAACAGGGGACGAUGAUGACGGUACCCUGCUAAUAGCACCGGCUAACUCCGUGCCAGCAGCCGCGGUAAUACGAAGGGGGCUAGCGUUGGAUUAGCUAGUUGGUGGGGUAAAGGCCUACCAAGGCGACGAUCCAUAGCUGGUCUGAGAGGAUGAUCAGCCACAUUGGGACUGAGACACGGCCCAAACUGCGCGCAAAUUACCCAAUCCCGACUCGGGGAGGUAGUGACAAUAAGUACUGAUACAGGGCUCUUUUGGGUCUUGUAAUUGGAAUGAGUACAAUUUAAAUCCCUUAACGAGGAACAAUUGGAGGGCAAGUCUGGUGCCAGCAGCCGCGGUAAUA
rnacentral:rRNA from 1 species